rnacentral:rRNA from 1 species
UGGCUCAGGAUGAACGCUAGCUACAGGCUUAACACAUGCAAGUCGAGGGGAAACGACAUCGGAAGCUUGCUUUUGAUGGGCGUCGACCGGCGCACGGGUGAGUAACGCGUAUCCAACCUGCCCACCACUUGGGGAUAACCUUGCGAAAGUAAGACUAAUACCCAAUGAUAUCCCACGAAGGCAUCCGAAUGGGAUUAAAGAUUUAUCGGUGAUGGAUGGGGAUGCGUCUGAUUAGCUUGUUGGCGGGUAACGGCCCACCAAGGCAACGAUCAGUAGGGGUUCUGAGAGGAAGGUCCCCCACAUUGGAACUGAGACACGGUCCAAACUCCUACGGGAGGCAGCAGUGAGGAAUAUUGGUCAAUGGGCGAGAGCCUGAACCAGCCAAGUAGCGUGCAGGAUGACGGCCCUAUGGGUUGUAAACUGCUUUUAUGCGGGGAUAAAGCGGGCGACGUGUCGCCCCUUGCAGGUACCGCAUGAAUAAGGACCGGCUAAUUCCGUG